rnacentral:rRNA from 1 species
CUACGUGCCAGCAGCCGCGGUAAUACGGAAGGUCCUGGUGUUAUCCGGAUUUAUUGGGUUUAAAGGGAGCGUAGGCCGCAGAUUAAGUGUGUUGUGAAAUUCAGGCGCCCAACGUCUGACUUGCAGCGCAAACUGGUCUGCUUGAGUUCGCGCAACGCAGGCGGAAUUCGUCGUGUAGCGGUGAAAUGCUUAGAUAUGACGAAGAACUCCGAUUGCGAAGGCAGCUUGCGGGAGCGCUACUGACGCUGAAGCUCGAAAGUGCGGGUAUCGAACAGGAUUAGAUACCCUGGUAGUCCGCACGGUAAACGAUGGAUGCCCGUUUUUGGCUUUUAAAGUCAGAGACCAAGCGAAAGCAUUAAGCAUCCCACCUGGGGAGUACGCCGGCAACGGUGAAACUCAAAGGAAUUGACGGGGGCCCGCACAAGCGGAGGAACAUGUGGUUUAAUUCGAUGAUACGCGAGGAACCUUACCCGGGCUUGAA